AGAGAGAGACAUGCGCGCAUAUCAAUAAGCGGAGGAAAAGAAACUAACAAGGAUUCCCUUAGUAACGGCGAGUGAAGCGGGAAGAGCUCAAAUUUGAAAUCUUCAAGGUUUUACCUUGACGAAUUGUAGUUUAAAGAAGUGUUUUCUGCUGAAGUUUUGGUAAAAGUUCUUUGGAAUAGGACAUCAUAGAGGGUGAGAAUCCCGUAUUUGACCAUUAUUUUCAGCUUUGUGAUACACUUUCAAAGAGUCGGAUUGUUUGGGAAUGCAGUCCAAAAUGGGUGGUAAAUUUCAUCUAAAGCUAAAUAUUGGCGAGAGACCGAUAGCGAACAAGUACCGUGAGGGAAAGAUGAAAAGAACUUUGAAAAGAGAGUUAAACAGUACGUGAAAUUGUCAAAAGGGAAGCGUUUGACACCAGUGUUGUUUUCUCGAAAAUCAAUUAAAAAAGGCAGGAUUUUGUGUUGUAUUGACUUUAUCAGCUUUCUGCACUCUUUUCUUGUCUUUUUUAAUGCACUUUUCGUUUAACAAGUCAACAUCAGUUUCUUUUGUUGUAAAAGGGUCAUUGGAAGGUGGCUUUCUUUUCGGAGAAAGUGUUUAUAGCCUUUGGCCUCUGCAAUCGGAGAGAUUGAGGUCUGCAGCGUAGAUCCUUCGGGGUUAGAUACAUUUGUGCUAAGUUAUAGCCUUUUCAUAGACAACUUGUCGACUAUAAUCAGUCAUGUAGCUUACUCGCUUAUGCUAUUUUACCUACGCUUAGGAUGUUGAGUCGUAGAGCACGCAG
rnacentral:rRNA from 1 species